CUGUAGAGGUAUUCGACGCUAGCGUACUAAUUUCAGAGAAAAAAUUCGGAACCCUUGCCCUUCGUCCGUUUACUUACUAGAAGUUACAGGUAGUAUGUACGCUGGUCAUUUUCCGGGUUCGGGAAA
rnacentral:sRNA from 1 species